rnacentral:rRNA from 1 species
UAGGGAAUCUUCGGCAAUGGGGGCAACCCUGACCGAGCAACGCCGCGUGAGUGAAGAAGGUCUUCGGAUCGUAAAACUCUGUUGUUAGAGAAGAACGUGUGUGAGAGUGGAAAGUUCACACAGUGACGGUAACUUACCAGAAAGGGACGGCUAACUACGUGCUAG